rnacentral:lncRNA from 1 species
CGCCCCCCCUGCCCACCUCCUCCUCCCUCCAUUGUUGCAGCCACCAAAACCCUAGCCGCCCCCCCCCCAAUCCCCUCCUCCCUAGGUGCUACUCCGUGCCGCUCGGAUCAUCGUCUUUUGGUGCGAAUCUCCAAUCGUUUUGGUGGAAGGAAGAAGGGAGGAAGGAAAAGGGGAGAACCCAAGGUGGUGGACUUCCGGAUCGUUCUUAGGGAUUUUGCCUGAACUUCGGUAAAGGCAAGUAAAACAGUGAUGGUUAUUUCGUCUUUUGAUUGAAGAGUCUCAUACUUGAUUAUGUUUGUGCUAUUUGUGUUCGUAUCCAUAUUCCUAAUUGGGUACCAUCGUUUGAAAUUAUUCAUGCUUUAUUGAUUAUACAUGUGGAGGGUGUGGUUUGAUCAUGUUACCCAUGUGGUUAUUGAUGUGAAAUGGGUGGAAGUAUAUGUCUAGCACAUUUUAUUUGGGAAGAACUCAUGUUGUUGACAUGCAUAAUGCAUUCAUCAUCCAUUGCAUUGAAGUUUUCGUCGCGAUCUUAUGGUCCGACCGUACCGGUACAAUGAGCAUCAUAUGUUUCCCGAGAAGGGGUAUGAUGCAGCUUCAUAUCCUUAGAGGUAUGAAGGCAGAAGUCAUGUUGCAUCUGUAGCUAUGUGCAUUCAUGGGUGAAGUGUGGAACCUAUUUUGGUGAUGUGGAUAAGGUGGAUCUUUACUUUGUAAUUCAUCUUGGCAUUGAGUAAUUGAUUACUUGCUUACUUGCUGCAAAUUAAUAUUUAAGGAAGAAGUUGAGAACCAUGUGGUUGCUUAUGCACGGUUGGCUUGCAUUGUCCAACUGUUGUUUGUUUUUUUACUUGCUGAGAUGUGUCAUCUCACUCUUGCAUUGUCUGAUGCAGGCACCUGAUCUUUGCUUUGGGAAAGAAGGGAUGUAGCAGCACGGCCACCACACUUUUAAAUAAAGGAAUAACUGAUUAUUAAUGAUGUUAAACAGGAAGGGUCAAGUCUAGGGAAUUAUUACAUUCUAAUCUUCAUGGUAGUUGAACUGUUUAGUUUGGUGGGCUGAGAUGUCUAUCUUUUGUCUGGUCAUGAAUGUUCUUUUCUACCGUUGCAUUUUGAUUAUACUAUGGCAAUUAUCUUUCUUUUAUAUCCUGUAUAAACUAUAUGCUUCCCUUGUUAUGCUACUUUCAAGGGAGGUGCUGCCGGAUUUUGCAAUACUUUCUUUCUCUAUGUGCUGCAUAAGUUUUGUAGAAAGGUUUUUUUUUGGUAUCAUCCAUUGUGUGGGAUCAGUGGGGUGUUACAGUUGGUAUCGGAGCAUAGGCUGUAGGUCCUAGCAAGUGGAGUAGUAAUAAAUUGACACACUGCACAUGUAGGAUGGGUUUUCGGUCUUGCUAUUGAUAUGAUUAUGUUAUUCUCUGUGCUAGUUUUGACAUUAUCUAGAGAGAUGCUAUGCUUAUCUCAUAUACUUAUUAUUCUCAUCCCUGUGGAUACAGCUAUGCCGCCUCGUAGAGCUCGGGGUAGUCCGCAAGCUCCUAGUGGGGACUCGAUGAGUCCGGCGGCAAUGUUAGCCGCGAUGCAGGCCAUGCAGCAGGAGUUGGCCCUUCUGAGGCAAGCCAUUCCUGUCGCCCCUGCAGGUGCUGCUCAGGGAGCUGGAGGUGGAGAAGUGCCCGGGGGCGCUGUCCCUGCGGGUGCUGUUCCAGGUGGCGGGGCCGGGGUGCCUCUUCCUGUCAGUGGUCUUUCUCUGAUGCAGUGGAUGGGCAUGAAGUUGGAUUCUUUUGAUGGCAGUGGUACUCCGGUCGAGGCGGCAGAUUGGCUGACUUAUGUGGAGGAUAAGAUGAAUGUCUUCGAGAUUGCUUAUGAAGAUCGGGUUCGCUUUGGCACUCAGCUGCUGAAGGGUGAGGCACAGAUUUGGUGGAGAGGCGUGCAGGCAGCGCACUCCUCACCAGGAGUCCUAUCAUGGGAUGUUUUCAUCAGGCAGUUCGAAAGGAGAUUCUACCCGGUCACCUUUCUGGAGAAAAUGAAGAUUGACUUGCAGUCCUACAAGCAGGAGAAGAAGUCUGUCACAGAGUAUGAGGUGGGCUUCAACAAAAUGGUCCGCUUUGUCCCUCAUGUGGCUUAUAAUGAGAUGGAGAAGGCGAGCCAAUUCCGUCAGGGUCUGAAGCCUUCUAUCAGGCAUGCUCUGGGGGCCUUUCCGUUGGUGGACUUCCGUACCACAGUGGAGCAGGCGCUGGGUGUGGAGAUGCAACACCAGUACACCAUGGAGUCGCAGAAGUCUUCGGGUGUUGAUCAACCUCGUAGCCAGGACACGAGGAGGGGCAACACUGGAGGUCCCGCUCACAAGAGGGGCAAGUCUCAGCAUCAGCGCCACCAUCCUUACCGUGGCAAAUCUUCUGACUCAGGUACUUCAGGAGGAAGUACUCAGAGGUUUCGGGCCGUUCCUAAGCCCGGGUUGGGGCUGGUGUGUUUCCGCUGUGGAGAUGCGCAUCGCCAUGCAGAGUGUCAGUGGAGUGGCAGGUGUUCUAUCUGCAGUCAGGACCACAAGGAUGUGGUGUGUAGGAGGAAUCCCAAUGGGAAGCUCAGAUGGGAGCCGAUAGCUUCCUCCUCUUCUCAGGGCACUAUCAAUAUGAUGUCAAGUGCUGAGCAGCAGUUUUCAGUUCCUCUUCCUCCACAGCAGCUUUAUGUGCCCGGGACUUCUCAGUUCGUGCCGAUGCAAGGUUUUCCGCAGUAUCAGGUUGUGCCUACUCCUGCGCCGUCUACCCCUGUGUUGUCUCAGUUUGGAGCUCCGCGCCAGCCUCCUCCGGUGGCUCAGUGGGGUUCUUCUGUUAAUUUCACUCCGGGAGCUUCCUCUUCUGCGGGUAUUUCUGGAGCUUAUGUGCUACCCGCUACGGAUGGCAGGGAGUAAGGAGACGUGGUGACAGGUACGAUUUCAGUUGAUUCAUUUGCAGCCCAUGCUCUUUUUGACUCUGGCGCUAGCUAUUCGUUUGUUUCGGAGGAUUUUGUGUCGCGGGCUGGUCUUUCAGUGCAGAGGUUGGGUCACCCAAUUUUGGUCAGUUCUGCUAAUGGCUCCAUUAGUAGCUGUUCAGUUUGUCAGGGGUGUUCCGUCAUUCUUGCUGAUGAGGUUUUUUCGGCUAAUCUGGUGGUGAUUUCCUUGGGGGCAUUCGAUGUUAUCUUGGGUAUGGAUUGGUUAUCCCAGUAUCGCGCGGUUAUAUCCUACUUCUGGAAGAUAGUGUUAUUGCAGGCGCCGUCGGGUAAGGAGGUGGUAUUCUUGGGAAGUUCUCCGAAGUUCACAUUAUCCUUGUUGGCGCAAUUGCUUCCUGAUCGCUGGUCAAGGAAGUCGGGGAUCUUUUUCUCUAUGGUGGUGGAGGGCGAGGCUGCCUUGUGGGUGCAGGACAUCCGGGUGGUGUGUGACUUUGCUGACGUGUUUCCAGCAGAGCUUCCAGGCAUUCCUCCGGAGCGCGAUGCAGCUUUUGAGAUUAAGCUGAUCCCGGGUACGCAGCCUAUUCAUAAGGCCCCGUAUCGAAUGGCUCCAAAGGAGCAGAUUGAAUUAAAGCGACAAUUGGAGGAUCUGCUGGCUAAGGGCUUCAUUAGGCCUAGCAGGUCUCCAUGGGCUUCCUCAGUAUUGUUUGUUGAGAAGAAGGAUAAAAGUAAGCGGCUGUGUGUGGAUUAUCGCGCUUUGAAUCAAGUGACAAUCAAGAAUAAAUAUCCGCUUCCCCGAAUUGAGGUCCUCUUUGAGCAGUUGAGGGGUGCCCAGGUGUUCUCCAAAAUUGAUUUGAACUCUGGUUAUCAUCAAUUGAGGAUUCGUGAGGAGGAUAUUGAGAAGACUGCCUUCUGCACCAGGUAUGGGCAUUAUGAGUUCAUAGUCAUGUCCUUUGGCUUAACUAAUGCCCCUGCUGCGUUUAUGGAAGCAAUGAAUAGGAUGCUGCAUGAAUUCUUGGACGAUUUUGUGGUCGUAUUCCUAGAUGAUAUUUUGAUUUAUUCAAAGACCGAGGCCGAGCAUGAUCAGCAUCUCCGUCUCGUUCUGGGUGCCCUAAGGAAGAAUCAAUUCUAUGGCAAGUUGAAGAAGUGUGCCUUUUGGCUAUCUGAAGUGGCUUUCCUGGGGCACGUGAUUAAUCAGCAGGGUAUUGCGGUUGACCCCAAGAAUGUUGCGGCUGUAGUGGAGUGGAAGAGACCUUCUAGUGUCUCUGAAAUCCGAAGUUUCUUGGGGCUUGCUGGGUAUUAUCGGCGUUUCGUACCAAAAUUUUCCAGCAUUGCUAAGCCUUUGACUAGGCUCUUGGGGAAGGGUGUUCCCUUCGUCUGGUCCGGCGAUUGUGAGAUCAGUUAUCAGUCAUUGAAGAGCAAGUUGGUGGACGCCCCUAUCCUAGCUUUACCUGAGAGCGGUAAGCGUUUCACAGUUUAUACGGAUGCUUCGCGUAUUGGUCUUGGCUAUGUGCUGAUGCAGGAAGGCAGGGUGAUUGCUUAUGGCUCAAGGCAGUUGAGGAAGCAUGAGGGGAAUUAUCCAACUCAUGAUCUGGAAUUGGCUGCGAUGGUUUUUGCUCUAAAGUCGUGGAGGCAUUACCUUUAUGGCGAGGCUUGUGACAUUUUCACUGAUCACAAAAGUCUCAAGUAUAUUUUUACUCAGAAGGAGCUGAAUUUGAGGCAGCGUCGGUGGCUAGAAUUGAUUAAAGAUUAUGAUUUGUCCAUUCAUUAUCACCCGGGGAAGGCUAAUGUGGUGGCGGAUGCCCUUAGCAGGUCCGGGGUUCCAAAGGUGGCCUUGCCGUUGAUCGCUGAUCUGGACCGUUUGGGGAUCGCUUUGUGUUAUGUCGGCACCGCUAGUGAGGAGACUCAGAUGCUUAUUCAAUCCUCUCUUAUGGAGAGAGUGCGUGCGGCUCAGCAGCAGGAUCGUCUUUUGCAGGAAGCCCGAAGGAGGGUUGGUGAUGGUAAACCGCGGGAGUUCACCAUUGAUGAGAAUGAUUUGGUUCGUUUCAGGGGCCGUCUUUGUGUGCCUCAGAAAUCAGAGGUGAAGCUGGAUAUCCUGCGAGAAGCUCAUAAAACGCCUUACACCGUCCAUCCUGGCGAAACCAAAAUGUACCGAGAUUAGAAGCAAAACUUCUGGUGGAAGCGGAUGAAGGUUGACAUUUCUAAGUAUGUGGCCGCCUGUGAAGUAUGUCAGCGCGUGAAGGCCGAGCAUAAGCGGCCUGCAGGUUUGCUGAAGUCAUUGGAAAUUCCAGAGUGGAAAUGGGAGCAUAUCACCAUGGAUUUUGUGGUGGGUCUACCUCGUUCUCCUCGUGGCAGGGAUGCUAUUUGGGUGGUAGUGGAUCGCUUGACUAAGUCUGCACAUUUUAUUCCCAUGAAGACCACGAAUUCAGCUUCAGAUUUGGUUCCCUUGUAUAUGAAGGAAGUAGUCAGGCUUCACGGGGUACCUAAGUCUAUUGUUUCUGAUCGAGACUCCAAAUUUGUAUCCAAAUUCUGGGAGAGUCUCCACAGUGCAUUGGGCACCAAGCUUUCGCUUAGUGUCGCUUUUCACCCUCAGACGGAUGGUCAGUCAGAGCGAACAAUCCAAACCUUGGAGGAUAUGUUGCGUGCUUGUGUUCUGUCAUGGAAGGGUAGCUGGGAGGACCAUCUUGCUCUGGCAGAGUUUGCGUAUAACAACAGCUACCAAGCUAGCAUCAAGAUGGCGCCAUUUGAGGCUUUGUAUGGCAGGCGGUGUAUCUCUCCUCUGUGCUGGGAGACUUUGGGAGAGAGAUCCCUGGUUGGUCCUGAUUGGGUUCAGCAAACUUCUGAAAAGGUUCGGGAAAUUCGUCAGAAUAUUUUGGCAGCUCAGAGUCGUCAGAAGAGUUAUGCUGAUGUGAGGAGGCGGGAUCUGGAAUUUGCUGUGGGUGACCAAGUCCUUCUCAUGGUAUCACCCACUAAGGGAGUUGUUCGGUUCGGUGUCUCUGGGAAGCUCAGCCCAAGAUACAUUGGACUGUUCACUAUCUUGGCCCGAGUGGGCAGCCUGGCUUAUCGCUUGCUGCUGCCGGAUUCCAUGGCAGGGGUACACCCGGUUUUUCAUGUCUCUAUGUUGAGGAAGUUCUUGCGGGAUCCGGACCAUCAGAUUGAGAUGGAACCAAUUGCGGUGCAGCAGGAUCUGACUCUGGUGUGCCGUCCGGUGCGUAUAUUGGAAUUCUCGGAGCGUGUGUUGAGGAAGAGGUCAAUUAAGUAUGUCAAGGUCUUAUGGUCUAAUCAGUCAGAGCGCGAGGCUACGUGGGAACUUGAGGAGUUGAUGCGGCAGAAGUACCCGGAACUUUUCGUUGUGGGUAAGUGUUGUUGAUUCGCUAAUCUUUUCUUGUGUCAUUCCGACAGAAGCGUCAGAAUUCGAGGUCGAAUUCUUUUUAAGAGAGGUAGAAUGUGAUACCCGGUUUGCAAAGAAGAGAAGUUGGGGGUUGUUCUUUUUGUUUUUUUUUCCCUCAUCCAGUUGUUGUUUUGGGGAUUUGGAAUUUUGUGAACAACAUUCGCAACUAGGGCAGUAUAAUUUAUUUGGUUUGACGUUUGCGUUGCGGUCGGGAGCUGUCGCGUGGGUUAGUUGGGCCGCAAUUGGUGUUUCGGCCCAUUAGCCCUCCCAAACCCUAGCCGCCACCCUCCUAACUACCCCCCCAUGUGCAGCCGCCCCCCCCCACUCCUCCUUUCCCCUUGGCCGCCGCCCCCCCUGCCCACCUCCUCCUCCCUCCAUUGUUGCAGCCACCAAAACCCUAGCCGCCCCCCCCCCAAUCCCCUCCUCCCUAGGUGCUACUCCGUGCCGCUCGGAUCAUCGUCUUUUGGUGCGAAUCUCCAAUCGUUUUGGUGGAAGGAAGAAGGGAGGAAGGAAAAGGGGAGAACCCAAGGUGGUGGACUUCCGGAUCGUUCUUAGGGAUUUUGCCCGAACUUCGGUAAAGGCAAGUAAAACAGUGAUGGUUAUUUCGUCUUUUGAUUGAAGAGUCUCAUACUUGAUUAUGUUUGUGCUAUUUGUGUUCGUAUCCAUAUUCCUAAUUGGGUACCAUCGUUUGAAAUUAUUCAUGCUUUAUUGAUUAUACAUGUGGAGGGUGUGGUUUGAUCAUGUUACCCAUGUGGUUAUUGAUGUGAAAUGGGUGGAAGUAUAUGUCUAGCACAUUUUAUUUGGGAAGAACUCAUGUUGUUGACAUGCAUAAUGCAUUCAUCAUCCAUUGCAUUGAAGUUUUCGUCGCGAUCUUAUGGUCCGACCGUACCGGUACAAUGAGCAUCAUAUGUUUCCCGAGAAGGGGUAUGAUGCAGCUUCAUAUCCUUAGAGGUAUGAAGGCAGAAGUCAUGUUGCAUCUGUAGCAAUGUGCAUUCAUGGGUGAAGUGUGGAACCUAUUUUGGUGAUGUGGAUAAGGUGGAUCUUUACUUUGUAAUUCAUCUUGGCAUUGAGUAAUUGAUUACUUGCUUACUUGCUGCAAAUUAAUAUUUAAGGAAGAAGUUGAGAACCAUGUGGUUGCUUAUGCACGGUUGGCUUGCAUUGUCCAACUGUUGUUUGUUUUUUACUUGCUGAGAUGUGUCAUCUCACUCUUGCAUUGUCUGAUGCAGGCACCUGAUCUUUGCUUUGGGAAAGAAGGGAUGUAGCAGCACGGCCACCACACUUUUAAAUAAAGGAAUAACUGAUUAUUAAUGAUGUUAAACAGGAAGGGUCAAGUCUAGGGAAUUAUUACAUUCUAAUCUUCAUGGUAGUUGAACUGUUUAGUUUGGUGGGCUGAGAUGUCUAUCUUUUGUCUGGUCAUGAAUGUUCUUUUCUACCGUUGCAUUUUGAUUAUACUAUGGCAAUUAUCUUUCUUUUAUAUCCUGUAUAAACUAUAUGCUUCCCUUGUUAUGCUACUUUCAAGGGAGGUGCUGCCGGAUUUUGCAAUACUUUCUUUCUCUAUGUGCUGCAUAAGUUUUGUAGAAAGGUUUUUUUUUGGUAUCAUCCAUUGUG